GAGGCCAUUCACUCUCCUGGUCACUGACCGUUAGGUGUUUACCUGCCACUCACUGUCCUUCCUGAAACACAGUGCCCAGAAUUGGGCACUGUAAUAGCCAGGGGGACUUAGAAAGGGAAGGAACCACUGAACAGCUGUCGGGGAUUGGAUUCUAUGUGGCGCGCUUCCUCUUUCUUUCACUGAGUUGAGCUGUUACCAAUGGAGUCACUCAGUCUAAACUAAAGGAGGUGGCUGGCGGAAACUUGCUGAGCGUCUUGGCAUCUUGGCGUGGCGGCAGCUAUUGUCCAGUUUAGUGGAAGUAAGAGAGAAAUCAAAGAAGACAUACAUGAAGUGAUGCAAAAGUGAAGUAGACAGAUCCCGGUGGACAAUGGCCAAAUGGACAAUAGUGGAAGUGAAAUGGAUGCAGAAACUCGGAAGAAACACAUGGCCUUCUCAGAAUGGAGAGGGCAGUGGACAGCAGAUGCUGAAUGUGGCAGAUGUAAACAAAGUUGGAUGUUGUCCCAACUGUGUUGGUGUCAGAGCCCCUCCGUGGGUCAGUCAAGGAUCUUCGUGACUGGUUGGGGUAAAAUGAUCGCUGAAGGUCAGCCUUCUGGUCCUAGGUCUCUCUGAUGAAGGCAGAAAGGAGCAGGUCCUUCCUAAUCCCUUUGAGAGGCACCAUUCCGUAUGUAGCAAGUGCUUGGAAUGAGGAGGAUCAGUCCAAAAGAGCUGGAUUCUAAUCUUCCCUUUGAUAUUUACGAAUAUGGUGACUCUGGUCAAACCAUCUCUCUUCAAUUAAGCUGAGUUUUCCAAUAUGUUUUGUACCAUAAUAUGGGUAAAACCCACAUUGAAUGGCUUGCCAACUCCAGGAGGGGAUAGGGAAGAAGGGAGAGAGACAACACAAAUCAUAUCACUUUGGAAAACUCAUGCGGAAAUUUGUUAUUAAAAUAAAAUAAAGAUAAAACAUUUAAAAAAAACAAGAUGGUUUUCUAAACCGUAAAAUGAAGAGAGUAAUAAGCACAAGGCUGUGCUGACCCUCAGGGAAGAGUUAUUGAGUAGAAUUGCUUCCCUUUGUUCUCUAAGAGCUUUAGGAUGUUCAGAAGUUUUUUAAUUAAAAUUUAUUUUUUAUUGGGAACUUAGUGAUCAUUGGAAAAAUGUAAACCUUUCACCAUACUGAAAAGAACAAAGGGUUUGUGCGGAAAUCGUGAAGCCCGUUUUCCAUUUGCUCAAGAUCACAGAGCUAAGGAAGGCAGGUGUGUGUGUGUGUGUGUGUGUGUGUGUGUGUGUGUGUGUGUGUGCGCGCACCUACAUGUCAUAAGAUGUUUGCCUCAGUGUCUCAUGUUAGGGACACAAUCAUCCUAGCAGAGCCUGGGUUCUAAACCAGACUUUGUCCUGAAUGGGAAGAUGGUCGUGCUGAUGAAGUGGAUAAAUUAUAGGAAAUUAAAUAAAUGGGGAGCUCGAGGUCUUUGGGAGGGACAGGGGAAGGACAAGGACGGUCUUGGAUGCGUCGAGUUGGAGAUGCUAGGAUGACAUCAAGGGUACCUGAUCGGGAAGAGAGAGAUGAUGCGGCCUCGAGAGCUCCCGCAGGGACACACUAAUUGGGAAGUAUAAUUAUGAAGAGAGGAAAAGGAAGAGAAAGGAACUCAGGCCUGAAAUGCGGCUGCCAGCCACUUUUACAGGAAGGAGAAGACCGAGGAGUCGGCCGAAGGACCAUCCGAGGAGCGGUCGCCAUGGAGCCGUGUCAUGGAAACCAGGGGAAGAGAGGAUCCAGAAGGGGGGGUCCCCAGCAUCCAUUGCCCCCUGGGGGGGGUCAAGGAAAAGAAAUCAGGAGGAAAGGCCAAAAAGAAGGAGCUGCUGACCUCGGAGAGAGCCCUUCCAGAAGAGGCAGCCAGAGUGUUACGGGCUGAGCAGUGUAUGAGUGGUGAUGGAAGGCGGAUAGAAAGGACGGAUGGCUCUUGCCAGAAAUGUGCUGUUAUUGCUCAUCCUGAGUCUUUGAAGAGGACCGGAGACAGGGCAGGGUUGUGGCUUGGCUCAAAUUGCGAUUGUCAGCCGCCCUCUCUCUUUCAGAGUGGUCCAAGUCUAGUGGCAAGACAAAGGUCAGGACGCCCGGCACUGGCCUGGCUUUUUAGAAGUUUGACAACGAAGGAGAAGAGUGUUUAGGAUCUUUGCCAAGAAAACCCCAAAUUUGGUCACAAAGAGGCAGACACGACUGAAAUAACUGAAGAACAACAAAAAGUAUUCAGGCACUUUAUGAAUAUUAUCUCCUUCCAUCCUUAUAAUCCCUCGGUGAGGUAGGUACUAUUAUUACCCCCAUUUUACAGAUGAGAAAACUGAGGCUGAGAGGGGUUAAGAAGCAUAGCUUUGGUCUCCCAGCUAGUAAGUGUCAGAGGUAGAAUCUGAACCCAGGUCUGCUCAGGCAGUAUUGUUUUCUAUGAUACUAUGCUGAUCAUUGGAGCUGGAAAAGACUUUAAA